ensembl:lncRNA
AACGUACCUCUGGGCGGCCGUGUUCGCAUCCACCACCCCAGCCGUGUGCAUCCACGAUCGGACCGAAUUCAUGCCACUGCCCAGCGGUUCCUCUUUCAUAGUGGUCCCCCCUCUUGGUAUAUUUUCCUGAAUCCCAAACAUUAAAACAGUUCGCGUGCAACACACUUCCAGCCAAAGAGAUGAAAUGAGAGUGUGAGCGAGGGCGCGUCGUCUCUCCAAGAGCCCCUUCGGAUAGCCGUGAGAGUUUGUUUGGGAUUUGUCGAAAAGAGAAGAAGAAGAAGAAGAAAAGAAAAAGCUGUCCCGACUCCUUCUUCAGUCCGUCCUGCGUUGGCACCACAUGAACGAUUCAGUGCGUGAAGAUUCUCAAGCCUCUCCAAGCAGCUUGUUUGGAUAGAUGGAGAUCCUCCCGUGGAAGAAGCGAAACAAGUCGCGCAAAUAGCAGGGAUAUUAGACUCGUUUUAAUUCAGUUAAACAUUUCUUGCAGCUUUCUGUUGUUGUUGUUGUUGUUGUUGAUGAUGAUGAUGAUGAUGGAGGUGAUGAUGCUCUUAGCUUGGUGGCAUCCUAUAACAACAGCAUCAAAAAAGGCUUCGGGACACUGCUGAAUCCAGCACUUCUGGCUCCAAAAGACAAAUAAACGCGUAAAUGAUCACCGUGGAGGUGUUCCCGGACACGGGAGAGGAUGAUGAGGGGCCUUUAGCGCGUCUUUGCAGAAUGGAUGGAAGCAUACAAAACUCAACCCUCUAUCCCCCAGGACUGGAACCUUUCCCGGGAGCCAAAAACUCCAGACCCACGGGAUACACGCUGUCAGAGGAUGACGCGCACGUGGGCGUGGCUUUGCCCAUACAUGGAGAGGAUUGACGCUUCCUGUCGCUGGGCUUUAAGCUUGGACCGUGAGUGCAUACGCGACUAGAGUCGCUGCUGCUGCUGACGCCGCUGCUGCUUUUCCAGUGCGCAUUGUGUCAAGUAAUCAUCAGACAGGGACAAAAAUGAAUGAUAAUGAAAGCCCGCGAAUAAGGCGCGGCGCGCGGGAACUAUAUUUCCUGAAAAACUGCCAUGCAAGUUUAUAGAGUGCAAAAGAGCACUGACUGACCACCCAUCCGCUGCAAUCGGUUUCCAGAAUAAAUAAAUAAAUAAAUAAAAAGUCUUACUGGGCCAUCAUUACUCUGACAGCAGUGCCAAACGUCCCGGACGCAAGCCUCCAAAUCGAUUCAAUUUGAUUACUCUCAAAUCAGGAAGGUGUGCUGGCAUUUUAAGACUACAUGCUCCUUAUAAUAAACACCCUGGGCAUCUGCAUAAUGGCGUAAUGCGCGUCUUAAAUUAUGGCAACGUGUACUGCUUGAAUACUGCGAGACCCGGUUUGCGUGCGUGGAGCGAGCCGAGGCGAUGUCAAACUCAUAGUCCUAGCGCGUACUCGCUUAAUUUUGUAAAUUAUUGCAGAAUUACAUCUGAAAGUGUGAAAGGACUCGGGGGAAACAUUGCGUCCACCCUCUCCUUCUAUGCGCAAGAAGUAGGAUGUCUUUUGUAAUAAAAAUAUAAUCAUUUAUCAGGACAAUAAGGGUCAUUUUCCACCCUUUCAUUUCGUAAGGUGCUCGUGUCUCCGAUAUUGACAGACUCUGCAUGUAUGUUAAUAUUUGAAUUAAUGGGGGAAAAUGGAAGUCCGAUGUUGGUUAUCUGGGGACCCUGUGCGCUGGAGGGAGGGAUGGAUGGAUGGACGGACGGAGAGAGGAGAAGAGAGAUGUGUUUUACACAGCAAUCUAUUCUGCUAGUGUUGGGGGUUAAUGACUAUUGCCAAAGAUAAGUGAAUUAUCAAAGCUGUUGCUCUUGCCUCGACUCAAAAUCCAUCACAUUGCAUCGUCGUCUAAUUAAAUACUGGACACUGCGGAUUGAGCUUUAUUCUGUCUGCCCAUGUUAGAUCUUAUUUGGGGAGAUGUACUAACCGAGAGCGCAGGACAAAGGAAAAGUUAGUCAUGCAGAAGGUGUGUGUGG